rnacentral:lncRNA from 1 species
CUUAAAGAUGUUUCUAUAAUAGGUUUUGAAUUUGAUCUAAUCAAGCCUGACUCUAUGGGUUUACUAGAUUGUGUCAGUUCUUCUACCGAUCGAACUUCAUCAAGUUCAAUCUUUGAGACAUUAGUUCUUUCACCAAAGAACUCAUUUUCUAAAAAGAUAGCCCUAUUGCUGACAAACCUUCUAUUCAUUAGUAAAAUAGAAGUAAUAUCUCUUGGUCUCUUUUGGGUGUCCUACAAAUA